rnacentral:tRNA from 1 species
GACCUGAUAUUUUGGAAAUACGGGACUUUGAACGCCCCUUUUAGAUGUUCGAUUCAUCUUCA